rfam:Zea mays cultivar B73 chromosome 4, whole genome shotgun sequence.
AGUAAAUGAGGAAUCUAUACCAUCUUUUACUGUGUUGUUGAUAAUUAACAGAUGGUCUUCAAAGUUAUGUGAUUGCU